GGAUAGUCUAGUCUAGCGGUGAGGGUGUUUCACUCCUAGCCGAAAAGGUUCUGGGUUCGAACCCCGUAGACAUCCU